AGAGUUUGAUNNUGGCUCAGGACGAACGCUGGCGGCGUGCCUAAUACAUGCAAGUCGAGCGAGCGGAACUAACAGAUUUACUUCGGUAAUGACGUUAGGAAAGCGAGCGGCGGAUGGGUGAGUAACACGUGGGGAACCUGCCCCAUAGUCUGGGAUACCACUUGGAAACAGGUGCUAAUACCGGAUAAGAAAGCAGAUCGCAUGAUCAGCUUUUNAAAGGCGGCGUAAGCUGUCGCUAUGGGAUGGCCCCGCGGUGCAUUAGCUAGUUGGUAAGGUAAAGGCUUACCAAGGCGAUGAUGCAUAGCCGAGUUGAGAGACUGAUCGGCCACAUUGGGACUGAGACACGGCCCAAACUCCUACGGGAGGCAGCAGUAGGGAAUCUUCCACAAUGGACGCAAGUCUGAUGGAGCAACGCCGCGUGAGUGAAGAAGGUUUUCGGAUCGUAAAGCUCUGUUGUUGGUGAAGAAGGAUAGAGGUAGUAACUGGCCUUUAUUUGACGGUAAUCAACCAGAAAGUCACGGCUAACUACGUGCCAGCAGCCGCGGUAAUACGUAGGUGGCAAGCGUUGUCCGGAUUUAUUGGGCGUAAAGCGAGCGCAGGCGGAAGAAUAAGUCUGAUGUGAAAGCCCUCGGCUUAACCGAGGAACUGCAUCGGAAACUGUUUUUCUUGAGUGCAGAAGAGGAGAGUGGAACUCCAUGUGUAGCGGUGGAAUGCGUAGAUAUAUGGAAGAACACCAGUGGCGAAGGCGGCUCUCUGGUCUGCAACUGACGCUGAGGCUCGAAAGCAUGGGUAGCGAACAGGAUUAGAUACCCUGGUAGUCCAUGCCGUAAACGAUGAGUGCUAAGUGUUGGGAGGUUUCCGCCUCUCAGUGCUGCAGCUAACGCAUUAAGCACUCCGCCUGGGGAGUACGACCGCAAGGUUGAAACUCAAAGGAAUUGACGGGGGCCCGCACAAGCGGUGGAGCAUGUGGUUUAAUUCGAAGCAACGCGAAGAACCUUACCAGGUCUUGACAUCUAGUGCCAUUUGUAGAGAUACAAAGUUCCCUUCGGGGACGCUAAGACAGGUGGUGCAUGGCUGUCGUCAGCUCGUGUCGUGAGAUGUUGGGUUAAGUCCCGCAACGAGCGCAACCCUUGUUAUUAGUUGCCAGCAUUAAGUUGGGCACUCUAAUGAGACUGCCGGUGACAAACCGGAGGAAGGUGGGGAUGACGUCAAGUCAUCAUGCCCCUUAUGACCUGGGCUACACACGUGCUACAAUGGGCAGUACAACGAGAAGCGAGCCUGCGAAGGCAAGCGAAUCUCUGAAAGCUGUUCUCAGUUCGGACUGCAGUCUGCAACUCGACUGCACGAAGCUGGAAUCGCUAGUAAUCGCGGAUCAGCACGCCGCGGUGAAUACGUUCCCGGGCCUUGUACACACCGCCCGUCACACCAUGGGAGUCUGCAAUGCCCAAAGCCGGUGGCCUAACCUUCGGGAAGGAGCCGUCUAAGGCAGGGCAGAUGACUGGGGUGAAGUCGUAACAAGGUAGCCGUAGGAGAACCUGCGGCUGGAUCACCUCCUUUNN
rnacentral:rRNA from 1 species